CCGGGUUGCGGACAGUGUCUGGUGGGUAGUUUGACUGGGGCGGUCUCCUCCUAAAGAGUAACGGAGGAGCACGAAGGUUGGCUAAUCCUGGUCGGACAUCAGGAGGUUAGUGCAAUGGCAUAAGCCAGCUUGACUGCGAGCGUGACGGCGCGAGCAGGUGCGAAAGCAGGUCAUAGUGAUCCGGUGGUUCUGAAUGGAAGGGCCAUCGCUCAACGGAUAAAAGGUACUCCGGGGAUAACAGGCUGAUACCGCCCAAGAGUUCAUAUCGACGGCGGUGUUUGGCACCUCGAUGUCGGCUCAUCACAUCCUGGGGCUGAAGUAGGUCCCAAGGGUAUGGCUGUUCGCCAUUUAAAGUGGUACGCGAGCUGGGUUUAGAACGUCGUGAGACAGUUCGGUCCCUAUCUGCCGUGGGCGCUGGAGAACUGAGGGGGGCUGCUCCUAGUACGAGAGGACCGGAGUGGACGCAUCACUGGUGUUCGGGUUGUCAUGCCAAUGGCACUGCCCGGUAGCUAAAUGCGGAAGA
rnacentral:rRNA from 1 species